rnacentral:rRNA from 1 species
AUUGAACGCUGGCGGCAGGCCUAACACAUGCAAGUCGAACGAGUGGCGGACGGGUGAGUAAUGUCUGGGAAACUGCCUGAUGGAGGGGGAUAACUACUGGAAACGGUAGCUAAUACCGCAUACCAUCGGAUGAGCCCAUAGGGGAUUAGCUAGUAGGUGGGGUAAAGGCUCACCUAGGCGACGAUCCCUAGCUGGUCUGAGAGGAUGACCAGCCACCCUGGAACUGAGACACGGUCCAGACUCCUACGGGAGGCAGCAGUAGGAAAUAUUGCACGAUGGGCGCAAGCCUGAUGCAGCCAUGCCGCGUGUAUGAAGAAGGCCGUCGGGUUGUAAAGUGCUUUCCGCAGGGAGGCGUUACCGACAGAAGAAGCACCGGCUAACUCCGUGCCAGCAGCCGCGGUAAUGC